rnacentral:rRNA from 1 species
CCUACGGGGGGCAGCAGUGGGGAAUAUUGGACAAUGGGCGAAAGCCUGAUCCAGCCAUGCCGCGUGUGUGAAGAAGGCCUUCGGGUUGUAAAGCACUUUCAGUGGGGAAGAAAGCCUUGGGGCUAAUACCCUCGAGGAAGGACAUCACCCACAGAAGAAGCACCGGCUAACUCCGUGCCAGCAGCCGCGGUAAUACGGAGGGUGCGAGCGUUAAUCGGAAUUACUGGGCGUAAAGCGCGCGUAGGCGGUCUGAUAAGCCGGUUGUGAAAGCCCCGGGCUCAACCUGGGAACGGCAUCCGGAACUGUCAGGCUAGAGUGCAGGAGAGGAAGGUAGAAUUCCCGGUGUAGCGGUGAAAUGCGUAGAGAUCGGGAGGAAUACCAGUGGCGAAGGCGGCCUUCUGGACUGACACUGACGCUGAGGUGCGAAAGCGUGGGUAGCAAACAGGAUUAGAUACCCCGGUAUC